rnacentral:rRNA from 1 species
GGUCGUCCGAGUUGUAAUCUGGAGAAGCGUUUUCAGUGCCGGCCCGCGUACAAGUCCCCUGGAACGGGGCGUCGCAGAGGGUGAGAAUCCCGUCUCUGACGCGGUCACGCCGGCACGUUGCGAUGCGCUCUCGAAGAGUCGAGUUGUUUGGGAAUGCAGCUCAAAACGGGUGGUAAAUUCCAUCUAAAGCUAAAUACUGGCGAAAGACCGAUAGCGAACAAGUACCGUGAGGGAAAGAUGAAAAGCACUUUGGAAAGAGAGUCAAACAGUACGUGAAAUUGUUGAAAGGGAAACGCUUGAAGUCAGUCGCGUCUCUCGGGACUCAGUCGCGCCGUCAAAGGCGCGGCGUACUUCCCGGGUCUGGACGGGCCAGCGUCGAUUUCGACCGUCGUACAAAGGCGCGGGGAACGUGGCACCUUCGGGUGUGUUAUAGCCCCGCGUCCCGUAUGCGACGGUGGGGAUCGAGGAUUGCAGCGCGCCCGCAAGGGUCGGGGUUCGCCCACGUAACGCGCUUGGGAUGCUGGCUUAAUGGCUUUAAGCGACCCGUCUUGAAACACGGACCAAGGAGUCUAACAUGCUCGCGAGUGUUCGGGUGGAAAACCCGUGCGCGUAAUGAAAGUGAAAGGUUGGGACCCUUUAAGAGGGGGCACCGACGCCCGGACUUGAGCUGUUGCGACGGUUCCGAGGCGGAGCGCGUAUGUUGGGACCCGAAAGAUGGUGAACUAUGCCUGAGUAGGGCGAAGCCAGAGGAAACU